AUGUUUAGAGCGUAUUGCAGCAGAGUGAAGGGUGCGUUUUGUUCAGCUUGCGCUUGCGUAGGUGUACUCAGAACGUUAUCCGCCAGUCGUGAGCUUCCGGUGGCUAAUUUCAGCUGCUGGGGGUGGAGGGCUCCCUUCGGGUGAGGACGAAUCUGGAUAAUGCUGUGAUGCGACCCGUCUUGAAACACGGACCAAGAAGUCUAGCGUACAUGCGAGUCAAAGGGUGUGAAAACCUGAGGGCGCAGUGAAAGCGAUUUAAAACGUUGCAGUUUGAGGCGGCAUACGAUCGUUGAUUGUAGGUCUGACCUAGAGCAUGUAUGCUAGGACCCGAAAGAUGGUGAACUAUGCUUGAGUAGGGUGAAGCCAGGAGAAAUCCUGGUGGAAGCUCGUAGCGGUGCUGACGUGCAAAUCGCUCGUCUAACUUGAGUAUAGGGGCGAAAGACUAAUCGAACCAUCUGGUAGCUGGUUUCCUCCGAAGUUUCUCUCAGGAUAGCGGACCGAUAUGAUGUUGUUGUGUGC
rnacentral:rRNA from 1 species